rnacentral:misc_RNA from 1 species
AAGUCGUAACAAGGUUUCCGUAGGUGAACCUGCGGAAGGAUCAUUAACACAAAAUAGUACUAUACUAUCAUACACAGUGAACUAGUAGAGGGACUUCCGGGUGCAUAGUCUGUAAGGUUUCGAUCGGGCCCACUAAUCAGUGGGAGGCCUGGUCAUUACCGGACUCGCUUUCUCGACCGAAAGUGGGGAGACUGGUGCCUUGGGCCUCGCAGAAACCCUCCCCUGAUCUAUUACUAUAUUAACCCAAACACUUAAACAUCUGACUAAUUUAUUAUAUUCUUCUUUCGCCUGUGUGCUUCACGGCGCCGUGGCUUGAAUUAAGAAAUAGUGAACAACUCUUAACAACGGAUAUCUUGGUUCUC